rnacentral:snRNA from 1 species
AGAACUGAGGGGGAUUUAUCUUCCACAUCUCUCAUGCAUUCAUCAACAGGGUUGAUUCAACUGAUCUGGCUGGCUAACCAGGUGACCCCUUCCUCCCGCAUGGUUCCAUGUGUGUCCUUCCUGAAACUGUAGUAUAAAGAGGAGGCCCUUCUCUAAUUGAAGAGGUGUUUUUCAAAGGAUAUAAGAGCAUCUGUGUUCCCCUCUGAAAGCUGCAUGCUAGACCUAAGCUACACACCUUCCCUAAUAGAGCAGGAUCUUUUUG